rnacentral:rRNA from 1 species
UACAGAGGGUGCAAGCGUUAAUCGGAAUUACUGGGCGUAAAGCGUGCGUAGUCGGUUAUCUAAGUCGGGUGUGAAAUCCCCGGGCUCAACCUGGGAAUUGCAUUCGAUACUGGAUAGCUAGAGUUCGGCAGAGGGAAGCGGAAUUUCUGGUGUAGCGGUGAAAUGCGUAGAUAUCAGGAGGAACACCGAUGGCGUAGGCAGAUAACUGGCUCAUUCCUGACACUAAGGCACGAAAGCGUGGGGAGCAAACGGG